rnacentral:tRNA from 1 species
GGAGAGAUGACCGAGAGGCCGAAGGUGCACGCUUGGAAAGCGUGUGUGCCCUUACCGGGGCACCGUGGGUUCGAAUCCCACUCUCUCCG